ACGAAGAGAAGCUCCAAAAUGUCAAAGUUUCUGAAGGGAGCUGCUGACAGUAAUGUAGGAAACACAGAUUCUUCUAUAAUGAUGGUGUUCAGCAGAGUUGGAGCAGACCUCCUGUCGGACAACAUCUCUAAGGCGCUAUGAACCAUAUGACUUUUUCUGACAAGAACGAGGCAGGAGAGUUUUCAGUAAGGGCAAGAUGCUUCAGGUCGAUGAGGAAAAAUGAGAGACCACAUAAGUGUAAGGGAAUGAGAUCAGGUUCAAAGUAAUAAGUAUUACAGUGUUUACUCUAGCAUAACAAAAUCGUUUAUUAAGUGCAGCAUAGCACAAGCAAACUGGUCCGAGCUCAGAACAGUUUUUACUCGGGAACCAGUGUUGAUCUCAGGACACUGUUACAGUGCUGCAAGAUCCGGUGAGAAGCAAUCAAAUUCUGCACAUAAUUCUCUGUUACAAACAUAUCAAACAGCGCUGACAUAGAAAACCAGAAAUAUUAAGGACAACUAUAAAACCAUGAUAUUGUGGCAGACAGCCGUAUGUAAGUACAACCUUUUGAGAGAAGUUCAAGCACUUUUAGAUGACUUUCAAGAAUUUCACACAACUAUUUAAAGCACUGUAAAGCUCUAAC
ensembl:lncRNA